AAAUACCUGUAAUGAGGUUAUCAUAAUGACCUACAUAGGAACUGAAGUGCAGACUUUGCACCAGUUUAUUUUUUAGGACUUUUACAGAUAAAGGAAGACAAACUUCAAACGGUAUAAAAUGACCGAAAUGAAUGCAAAAGAGAAGGAAGAGCAUAAUAAGAAAUUGAGCUGGGUCUGCAAGGAAUUUGCAGUUGCCAUAGGCGUUUGUGCCGUGGUAUAUUUUACGGUCAGGAACAUUCCUCUGGACACGGAAACACUUAAAACUCCCCAGGACCGUCUGACAUUCACACUCAGGUGGUUGUUCGUUUCCUCACUUCCAAUCUUAUUUGCACUUUUUGGGGUGUUAGAUGUCCGAGGUAACACGAAAGCCAUCGAUCCACUUCACGGAGGCGCAGAACACCUCGUGGAACUUCCUAACAGGAUUCUGCGAAAUACUAUUGAACAGUUUUCCAUGCACGCAGUUGGAUUAUUAGCCUUGACAACAUAUCUGGAUGAAAAUUGUAUGUCCGAUAUUCCAGUCUUAGUUGUCUUGUUUUUUCUUGGUCGAAUCGUCUUCGCGAUUGGCUACAAAUCUUCGCCCAUGAACAGAGGAUUCGGAUUCGGCAUCACUUUCAUGCCAACAAUGGCUACCUAUGGAUAUUGUUUAUAUAAAUUCAUCACCACAUACUUUCUUAAAUUUUAGUUAUGUCUCACAAAAUCUAAUACUACUACAUAUUGCAUGUGUACAAAUAUCCCCCACCCUUCAUGUUAGAUGUCUAUCAUACCUGAUACAGUAUACACAGGUAAUUUUAACAAACUCACACAUUUAAUCAAUUUACAUGUAAAAUUGUGUAAUAAUAAAAGGUCUCAAAAUA